GCCCCGGCCGACUCUGGCUGGGGCAAGAGCCUCUUAAUCCCUUGGUUACAGGUUCGAGUCCUGUGCGGGUCACCU
rnacentral:tRNA from 1 species